rnacentral:rRNA from 1 species
AGUGAACGCUGGCGGCAGGCCUAACACAUGCAAGUCGAACGGCAGCACAGUGGAGCUUGCUCCAUGGGUGGCGAGUGGCGGACGGGUGAGGAAUACAUCGGAAUCUGCCCAGUCGUGGGGGAUAACAUAGGGAAACUUAUGCUAAUACCGCAUACGACCUACGGGUGAAAGCGGGGGAUCGCAAGACCUCGCGCGAUUGGAUGAGCCGAUGUCCGAUUAGCUAGUUGGCGGGGUAAUGGCCCACCAAGGCGACGAUCGGUAGCUGGUCUGAGAGGAUGAUCAGCCACACUGGAACUGAGACACGGUCCAGACUCCUACGGGAGGCAGCAGUGGGGAAUAUUGGACAAUGGGCGCAAGCCUGAUCCAGCCAUGCCGCGUGGGUGAAGAAGGCCUUCGGGUUGUAAAGCCCUUUUGUCCGGAAAGAAAAGUCCCGGGUUAAUACCCUGGGGUGAUGACGGUACCGGAAGAAUAAGCACCGGCUAACUUCGUGCCAGCCGCCGCCGUAACAC